rnacentral:rRNA from 1 species
GAUGAACGCUGGCGGCGUGCUUAACACAUGCAAGUCGAACGAUGAAGCCCAGCUUGCUGGGUGGAUUAGUGGCGAACGGGUGAGUAACACGUGAGUAACCUGCCCUUAACUCUGGGAUAAGCCUGGGAAACUGGGUCUAAUACCGGAUAGGAGCGUCCACCGCAUGGUGGGUGUUGGAAAGAUUUAUCGGUUUUGGAUGGACUCGCGGCCUAUCAGCUUGUUGGUGAGGUAAUGGCUCACCAAGGCGACGACGGGUAGCCGGCCUGAGAGGGUGACCGGCCACACUGGGACUGAGACACGGCCCAGACUCCUACGGGAGGCAGCAGUGGGGAAUAUUGCACAAUGGGCGCAAGCCUGAUGCAGCGACGUCGCGUGAGGGAUGACGGCCUUCGGGUUGUAAACCUCUUUCAGUAGGGAAGAAGCGAAAGUGACGGUACCUGCAGAAGAAGCACCGGCUAACUACGUG